rnacentral:tRNA from 1 species
GGACCUUUAGCUCAGUUGGUUAGAGCAGACGGCUCAUAACCGUCCGGUCGUAGGUUGGAGUCCUACAAGGGCCA